ACAAAAGCCAGCGCCUCCCUGCUCCUCCUCCCCCCACACAGUCACUUCCGGCUAUGGUGGCGGCUUUGGUGGAUCUGGUGGAGAAAACGCCCACAUCUGGUUUCCAGGGGCUGGGGAGGCUGAACAUAUGUGGUCAUGUGUGAACACGUCCUCGGCCGAGACUGACAUCACGCAUGUGCUCAACACACGGAAGAGAAGCUGUGGACAUGGAAACUUGGAACACAGAACACGGCUGCAAAUGGCGAGAAUCACGCUGGACGGCACGGUAAAUGCUUUUUGUUUCUCAAGAAGAGCCCUCUGUGCCAACAAUAAUCCUGGGAUUGCCACUGUUGCUAACGACUGUUCUCCAAACAUUUUAAACUGUUCUGACUCCUCUCCAAGGUCGAGCUAUGACUCUUAAUUUACUGAUCAACCAAAUUCAACAUGGUUUUCAAUCACUGAUAUCAUGAACUCUAAUGAAAGAAUAGAAAACUUGGUGACAAUCAGAGAUGUCUCUCCUGUGUUUUAACCUGGGAUAAUUUUGGGUGUUGGAAAAUGAUGUGGUUUCCACGUACACCUAUUUUAUUCUUUUUAAUACUUGCAUGGGGCAAAAGUCAAUGUGGAGUCUUACCUCUGAAACAGUCAUGAAUUGCUCUGUGAUAUCUCGUCCUGGUUUUGAGGCUGACUUUCCUCUGUAGCAAACAAAUAGAGAGUUCAUGCUCCCUCACAGUUCUAUGGGAUUUCUGAAGCCAAGACUAUAUAGUCCCUAUUAUAUCAUUUAUUUUGUGAUAAUCACAUAGUAUUUUUCAAUGUGAGUUUGUCUUUGGAUAAAUAAGGUUAUAUUGAUGUUUUUAUAUUCUUUGUCACUGAAACAUCUUCAAGAUUAUUUGAAGUAAUUAUUGGAAGUAAAUGCCAUAAAAUUGAGAAUUGAGCUGUGAAUUUUAGGAUGUAUGCUUGUUUGCAAGGGUGGCAAAGAAGACACUAAAAUAUGGCCAUGUGAAAUUCUUCCUGUUUUCAUUUUAUAAACAUCAUUCUAUUUAUAGCCUCCUUGGAAGUCUCUGCUUUUACUCUGCUCACUAUGAGGAAACACGUUCUUCUACCAUAUUCUGCAAGUAGGAAAUCUUCAAGCUUAAUAUGCAUAAGAAACUACUUGAAUUCAUCCAACUUGUAUUAAUAAAUAACUUUAUUUUACUUCAGGAAUCCAAAAAGACCAGAAGUAAUAUAGGGAAAGAAAAAAUAGGGACAAGAGAGGAAGAACAGAAGAGAUGUGAAAAAAUCCUUCUGUUCAUUAGGUACAUAAAAAUUUUAGCAAAACGCCUAAGGAUUAAAAGCAGGCAGAGUGGUAACAAAAUAGGAAUAUGCAUAACUAAGUCUUUGGAUGGACAAUAAAGAUUUAAUAACCAAAAUGCCCAGGUACAAAAGAGUAAAACAUACUUGGAGAAAUAAUAAUAUAUAUUGAUUGCUAUAGCGCUUUAGCAUUUAUUGGGAUGUACCUCAAUAUCCUGGGAAUCUGCAGAGACAUUUAUUAAAGUACACAUGCCUAUACAGAUAUCCACACAUAUAAAAAUGUAUCAAUAUUUUUAAACAUAAAAAUCUUAAAUGACACAGAGUCCCAAAUGAGACGUGAUGGACUUGGAUUUACCUAAGACACUCAUCCAUGGAAAUAUUUUUGAAGGUAUUUGUAAUGGGUUCAGGCUUACAACAGGCAUGCUAGUCGACUGAUAAAAAUGUCUCAUCUAAGGGAAAGAAAGAGAUAAACCAGGUCACAUACAUGGUCCUCUCAUGGCCUUAUAUUCUUCAGGAAAUAUUCUUCUCAAAUGUUCUUUCUCUAAAGCUCUCUUUAAGAUUUCUCCUCAAAAGUUCUUUCAAAUAAUUUUCCCUGCAUAUGCUCUCUCUAAAAGUGCUCUGGCUCCAAACUCCGGUAAUCACAGAUAAUGAAAUGAGAGAUUUUAUAAUUAAGAGAUUAAAUAAUUUGAUGGUAUUGCAUACUUGACUCCCACACGAUUGGGUGACAAUCCAGUGAUCAGUAAUUAUGUAAUCAUAGAUUGACUAACAUAAUAAGUAAACAAAUAAUAUGA